rnacentral:rRNA from 1 species
CCCUUAGAUGUUCUGGGCCGCACGCGCGCUACACUGAUGCAUUCAACGAGCCUAGCCUUGACCGAGAGGUCCGGGUAAUCUUUGAAACUGCAUCGUGAUGGGGCUAGAUUAUUGCAAUUAUUAAUCUUCAACGAGGAAUGCCUAGUAAGCGUGAUUCAUCAAAUCGCGUUGAUUACGUCCCUGCCCUUUGUACACACCGCCCGUCGCUCCUACCGAUUGAGUGUGUUGGUGAGGAGUUUGGAUUGGCCUCGGAAGGUGGUUCGCCACCGUCCGUAGCUGAGAAAUUCUCCAAACCGCCCCACUUAGAGGAAGGAGAAGUCGUAACA